rnacentral:rRNA from 1 species
GACGAACGCUGGCGGCGUGCCUAACACAUGCAAGUCGAGCGGAGAUAUUAGCAAUAAUAUCUUAGCGGCGGACGGGUGAGUAACGCGUGGGCAACCUGCCUUGAACAGGGGGAUAACACAGGGAAACUUGUGCUAAUACCGCAUAACAUUAUCUAAUGGCAUCAUUAGAUAAUCAAAGGAGCAAUCCGGUUUAAGAUGGGCCCGCGUCCAAUUAGCUAGUUGGUGAUGUAACGGACCACCAAGGCGACGAUUGGUAGCCGAACUGAGAGGUUGAUCGGCCACAUUGGGACUGAGACACGGCCCAGACUCCUACGGGAGGCAGCAGUGGGGAAUAUUGCGCAAUGGGGGAAACCCUGACGCAGCAACGCCGCGUGAAGGAUGAAGGUUUUCGGAUUGUAAACUUCUUUGAUGAGGGACGAAACAAAUGACGGUACCUCAAAAACAAGCCACGGCUAACUACGUGC